rnacentral:rRNA from 1 species
AUUGAACGCUGGCGGCAGGCUUAACACAUGCAAGUCGAGCAACCGGAGCACUGGUGAGUAACACGUAUCCCUCCUGCCCUUUACUCGGGGAUAGCUUUUCGAAAGAAAGAUUACUACCCGUUAUACAGGAUGGGGUUGCGUUCCAUUAGGUUGUUGGUGAGGUAACGGCAGACCACGCCUUGGAUUGAUAGGGGUUCUGAGAGGAAGGUCCCCCACAUUGGAACUGAGACACGGUCCAAACUCCUACGGGAGGCAGCAGGGAGGAAUAUUGGUCAAUGGGCGGUAGCAUGAACCAGCCAAGUAGCGUGAAGGAGGAAGGAUGAUGGGUCGUAAACUGCUUGUAUAUAAAAAGGGGUAUUAGAUGAAUAAGGAUCGGCUAACUCCGUGCCAGCAGCCGCGGUAAUAC